AAUGGGCGAAAGCCUGAUGCAGCGACGCCGCGUGAGGGAUGACGGCCUUCGGGUUGUAAACCUCUUUCAGCAGGGAAGAAGCGAAAGUGACGGUACCUGCAGAAGAAGCACCGGCUAACUACGUGCCAGCAGCCGCGGUAAUACGUAGGGUGCGAGCGUUGUCCGGAAUUAUUGGGCGUAAAGAGCUUGUAGGCGGUUUGUCGCGUCUGCUGUGAAAAUCCGGGGCUCAACCCCGGACUUGCAGUGGGUACGGGCAGACUAGAGUGUGGUAGGGGAGACUGGAAUUCCUGGUGUAGCGGUGAAAUGCGCAGAUAUCAGGAGGAACACCGAUGGCGAAGGCAGGUCUCUGGACCACUACUGACGCUGAGAAGCGAAAGCAUGGGGAGCGAACAGGAUUAGAUACCCUGGUAGUCCAUGCCGUAAACGUUGGGCGCUAGGUGUGGGACUCAUUCCACGAGUUCCGUGCCGCAGCUAACGCAUUAAGCGCCCCGC
rnacentral:rRNA from 1 species